CUUGACCGAGCCGAGCAGCAGCGGCCGGCCGCUGUCACGGCCCUGGCCGUAGGUGGCCAGCAGCGCCUGUGCCUC
rnacentral:antisense_RNA from 1 species